rnacentral:lncRNA from 1 species
AUUCGAGAGAGAGCCCUUCGCUUCUGUUGCCAUUUUUCAUCUCUGUCGUCUCAAUCAUUUUCCAGCUCAAGAUUUCUGUUCUUUUCUUUUCAUCUUUUUGAUCCAAUUUGUAGAUUUUCCCUGUGAUUUUUGAGUUCUUGAUCAGGAUGCCUGUCUCUAGGAGAGAGUCCAAAAUCAAGAACAUUGUAGGGGAUCAAGGUUCUCGAGCCCCA